AGAGAGUGCGAGCGUUAAUCGGAAUUACUGGGCGUAAAGCGCGCGUAGGUGGAUAUUUAAGUCGGAUGUGAAAGCCCUGGGCUUAACCUGGGAACUGCAUUCGAUACUGGGUAUCUAGAGUAUGGUAGAGGGAAGUGGAAUUUCCGGUGUAGCGGUGAAAUGCGUAGAUAUCGGAAAGAACACCAGUGGCGAAGGCGACUUCCUGGACCAAUACUGACACUGAGGCGCGAAAGCGUGGGGAGCAAACAGGAUUAGAUACCCUGGUAGUCCACGCCGUCAACGAUGAGAACUAGAUGUUGGGGGGGCGACCCCUUAGUAUCGAAGCUAACGCGUUAAGUUCUCCGCCUGGGGAGUACGGCCGCAAGGCUA
rnacentral:rRNA from 1 species